rnacentral:rRNA from 1 species
UGAAGGGAGCUUCCGCAAGGACACUCGUAGAGGUGCUGCAUGGCUGUCGUCAGCUCGUGUCGUGAGAUGUUGGGUUAAGUCCCGCAACGAGCGCAACCCUUGUUUGCUGUUGCCAUCAGGUUAAGCUGGGCACUCUGCAGAGACUGCCGGUGAUAAACCGGAGGAAGAUGGGGAUGACGUCAAGUCAGCAUGGCCUUUAUGUCUGGGGCUACACACGUGCUACAAUGGCCGGUACAAACCGUCGCGAGCCCGCAAGGGGGAGCUAAUCGGAGAAAGCCGGUCUCAGUUCGGAUCGUAGGCUGCAACUCGCCUGCGUGAAGUUGGAAUCGCUAGUAAUCGCGGAUCAGCACGCCGUGGUGAAUACGUUCCCGGGCCUUGUACACACCGCCCGUCACAUCACGAAAGCCGGUUGUACUAGAAGUCGCCACACCAACCCGCAAGGGAGGGAGGCGCCUAAGGUAUGGUCGGUGAUUGGGGUGAAGUCGUAACAAGGUAACCGU